CUCCGUCUCAAAAAACAAAAGAAAAAAAAAGAGAGAGAAUGCCUAAACGUUGUGCUACUGAAAGCCACAGUGCUCCCUUCCUGCAAGGACCAUCUUCAAUAUUCAAGUAAGGCUUAAGGAAUUCAGUGGAUUAGUAUAUGCUCUCAUCUAUUUUUUCACAUUCCUACUAUGAAAAAAUUUCAGGCAAUGCCAAUAAAGCAAAAGUCCCUGUUUGCCCUCAUACAGUCUCACUCCCCUCCUCAAAGGUAGAUCACUGUUAUCAGGCAUGAGCCACCGCACCUGGCUGAGUCUGUUUUUCUCAAAAUACUUACACAUAUAUAAACGUAGUGAUUUAAAAUAACUUAUAAUUAUUAACCCAUUUACCUUAAUUUCUUUUAAGUUAGGUACCAAGAAUGUAUCCACAUUUAAAAAAUUUUAAAAGAAUGCACCCAUUUUCCCAUAUAGUAUUUCACUAUAACACUUAGGCCUCAUGGCAACCUUCUGAAGCAUGCAUGACAAUAUUUGUAUUUUUUAGUUUCUAAUCCUUAAUUCGGUCAGCCAGCAAACAUUAGCUGAGUGCCUGCUCUGCCGUGGGAAUGACGCUGCAGAUACAGCGGUGAACAGUCACGAAUACUACAUGUUUUUUACAGCCUAGCAGUGGAGCUAAAUGAAGUAAAUGAUGUAAAUAAAGAAACCAAAGCUCAGGAAUUUAAAGUGAUUUGCAAUAGACGACAAGCCUAGUAGGGAAUAGGACUAAAGCUGGAAUCCAAAUCUUCUUACUUCUAAUCUGGUAUACUUUCUUCUAAUAACUUGCUG
rnacentral:sRNA from 1 species